rnacentral:lncRNA from 1 species
ACCAUAAGCUAGUAGUUUGGCCGUUAGGUUUGAAUUGUAGUCGAACAUAAAUUCUAUGAACUCUUGAACAAAUAUGGCGUUAUGUUUUCAUGGCAUUCUGCUAUGCUGCUGUGUAUGGUUUGUCUUUGAAGUAGGAGUGAAGUCCUCUAAUAAAACAGGAUAUUCAAUGCUUUCUUGAUUUAAAUUCUUUAAUAAAACAAGGAAUUCAAUACAUGGAUGGUCUUCAUCAAUGUUGUAGUCGAAAGGGGGAU